ensembl:lncRNA
CCGGAGGUUCCUCAAGUGUGUGGGAGAUAACUUCCUGACACAGCUGGUGAGGGAGCCGACAAGGGGAAGCAAUAUCCUGGACCUGCUGUUUGACAACAGAGAAGCUGCAGGACCUGACCAUCCCCAUGUCACAGAAGAUGAGCCGACAGGCAAGGAGGCUGGUCUGGCUGAACAGAGACCUUUGGCUGGAUCUCAAGAACAAAAGGAAAGUUUAUGGUCUCUGGAAGAGUGGGCAAGCUACUUAUGAGGAUUACAGUCACAUAUAUCAGCAGUCAAGAUCCACAUCCAAUUCCACAAGGCUCUUACCAGCAUGCAAGAUCCAACCUCAAGAGGACUAACUGCAACAAUCAAAAUUGAUUUUCAACCUUAUUCUACUUAUCAGAAAACAAGACAUAUCCAUUAAACUAAGAUAUACUGGAGCACUGCAAGAUAGCCAAAGCUUUAAAGAACUCAUCAGCCAUCUGUGCCUGCAGGUGUUUACAACAUAGAAUAAAUUAAGAAGUGACAAGUCAUUGAGAAGGUUACAGUUGAAUAAUUACCAUGGAAAACUCAAGAUCUUAUGCACCGUUUCAACUACUGAAGAUGGAGUAUCCUUCUCUGUCCUUUUAAAAUCAGUUGCCACUCUUGUUUAAGUUGUCUGAAGGACAUCUCCCUCCAUCAAAUACAAAACACUUGCAGCAAUUAAGCCAUGUCAAUACUUGCACUAACGAGUUUGUAUUUUUUUUCUUUUUGAUUUAAUUGAUGCAACAAAUUCAGUUAUCAAUGUUGAGAGCAAAGACAUCUGCUUAUUUCCAUCAAAGACAGCUUUCCCUGUGAGAACAUCUUCUGUCUCUAGCUGUUGCAUUUCCUCUCCAAAAAAUGUUAUGAAAUGUUCAGUUCCAACACGUUAAAGAGAAAUAUGUUGAAAUAUAUGGAUUCAAAGACAUCCCAAGCCCUACAUCCUGAAUAAACUUCAAGUUUACUUAAGCAUUAUAAGUCUUCAUCACAGAAUGUGCACAUGUAUCGUCAUAACAAUACAAAACAAAAACACAAGCAUCUUAGAU